rnacentral:rRNA from 1 species
AUGAAAGAGUGAAUGAAAUAUAAAUUGUCUCAAUAUAAUAAAAUUGAAUUUAAAUUAAGAGUUAAAAUGCUUUUAUUUAUUUAUUAGACGAUAAGACCCUAUAGAAUUUAAUAAAGUUUAUUUUUUAAAAUUAAUUUAUUUUAUAGAAUUUAAUUAAUAAAUAUAUUUUAUUGGGAGGAUAAUUAAAUUAGUUUAACUUUAAUAAAAUAUAAACAUAGAUUAAUGAGUUAUUUGAUUAUUAU